CCUACGGGAGGCAGCAGUGGGGAAUAUUGGACAAUGGGCGAAAGCCUGAUCCAGCCAUGCCGCGUGUGUGAAGAAGGUCUUCGGAUUGUAAAGCACUUUAAGUUGGGAGGAAGGGCAGUAAGUUAAUACCUUGCUGUUUUGACGUUACCAACAGAAUAAGCACCGGCUAACUUCGUGCCAGCAGCCGCGGUAAUACGAAGGGUGCAAGCGUUAAUCGGAAUUACUGGGCGUAAAGCGCGCGUAUGUGGUUCAGCAAGUUGGAUGUGAAAUCCCCGGGCUCAACCUGGGAACUGCAUCCAAAACUACUGAGCUAGAGUACGGUAGAGGGUGGUGGAAUUUCCUGUGUAGCGGUGAAAUGCGUAGAUAUAGGAAGGAACACCA
rnacentral:rRNA from 1 species